UGGGGAAUUUUGGACAAUGGGCGCAAGCCUGAUCCAGCAAUACCGCGUGCAGGACGAAGGCCUUCGGGUUGUAAACUGCUUUCGUACGUGACGAUUAUGACGGUAACGUGAGAAGAAGCACCGGCUAACUCCGUGCCAGCAGCCGCGGUAAUACGGAGGGUGCGAGCGUUAAUCGGAAUUACUGGGCGUAAAGGGCGCGUAGGCGGCCCAUCAAGUCAGGCGUGAAAGCCCCGGGCUCAACCUGGGAAUUGCGCUUGAGACUGGUGAGCUAGAGUUCGGGAGAGGUGAGUGGAAUUCCCAGUGUAGAGGUGAAAUUCGUAGAUAUUGGGAAGAACACCGGUGGCGAAGGCGGCUCACUGGACCGAUACUGACGCUGAGGCGCGAAAGCGUGGGGAGCAAACAGG
rnacentral:rRNA from 1 species